rnacentral:rRNA from 1 species
GCUACGGCCACAACACCCUGAAAGCGCCGAUCUCGUCUGAUCUCAGAAGCUAUCUGGGGCGGGGCCUGGUUAGUACCUGGAUGGGAGACGGCCUGGGAAUACCAGGUGUCGUAAGCU